AUAAGAGCAAGAAGACAUAAAUUCGUAAUUUUAAUUUGCGAGAGCGAAGAUGUUUCUCCGUUCCUCUUCUUCGAUCAGUUCGGAGGAACCCUAGUUUUCAUUGCCGAAAUUCGGUGGUUUCGUUGAUUAAUUAGGAUUUCCGGACAGUAAAAAGGGACAUAGCUGUUCUUUUGGCUUCUCGGGUUCAAUGGUGAUUCGAGGGUUCUGAAUUCAAGCAUCUAGGGUCUUUCAAUGGCGUCAGCUCGGGUUUCUCCGAGUUAUCGGAAGCAGGAGCUCGCUGACGCUGGAAGGCGUAAGCUAGAGCAGUUUCGUACGCUAAUGGACCUGUUGGGCUGUCUGCCGAGAAUCAUCAAAUUCCCUCGAAUGGAUUUCAUUGCAAAUCCUCGUUUUCUGGAGACGGGUACGGUUUGUCAUCUUCAAAUCUAGCUGCGAGUGAUGGUAGUGGCAAAGAAAAUAGUCAGGAAGAGUGGGUGCAGGAGAAAGCAUCACAGUGAACAAAGCCAAGAGAAAAAAAAAAGGCCCUUCUCGAAGUUACACAAAUUUCAGCUUGUUGUCAAUACUGUAGGAUUAUGAGCAUCUCUGUUUUUCCGGUCGGGCCAUUGUCUUCAUGGUCAACGUAGCAGCUGCAGUGGAAGUUUCUUGUAGAUGUAGACGACACUUUUUUCUUCUUCGUCUUCUUCUUUGUGCUGUCACUGCUGAUGAUUCGGAAACUCUGUCUCAAGAGGCUCACAUCAUUGAAUGAAGAGAGCUCAUUAUUGUGAGUGAAGAAGCUCCACAUUGUGGCCUUUCAGAGUCUCUCACCUCUUGCAGUACUGAAGGAGAAAAAAAGAAAGAGAACAAGAAAAUGGAGGGAGGGGGAAUUAUUAGGGAUUGAUGAGAGGUGUCAGAGGGGAUGGUGGAGUGGAGACUGUGUGGAGAGCAAAAGGACAAUGGGAAGGCAUCUCUCUACAUCUCUCACCAUUCCAUUAAUGCCACGUCAUCGGUCGAUUAGAUUCGGGGGAGCCAAAGGGACGACUGUGUUUUGGCUUCCACGUGAAGCUUACGAUUAAUGUGGAGGUUUUGUCUUAAAUGAGAUCCUCUGAAGUAACAGAUACCAAAUUUGUUGUCUUUUUAAUUAUUAAGAGUGAAUAGAAAUAACAUUUUCAUUUUUACA